rnacentral:rRNA from 1 species
GAUGAACGCUGGCGGCGUGCCUAAUACAUGCAAGUCGAGCGAACGGACGAGAAGCUUGCUUCUCUGAUGUUAGCGGCGGACGGGUGAGUAACACGUGGAUAACCUACCUAUAAGACUGGGAUAACUUCGGGAAACCGGAGCUAAUACCGGAUAAUAUUUUGAACCGCAUGGUUCAAAAGUGAAAGACGGUCUUGCUGUCACUUAUAGAUGGAUCCGCGCUGCAUUAGCUAGUUGGUAAGGUAACGGCUUACCAAGGCAACGAUGCAUAGCCGACCUGAGAGGGUGAUCGGCCACACUGGAACUGAGACACGGUCCAGACUCCUACGGGAGGCAGCAGUAGGGAAUCUUCCGCAAUGGGCGAAAGCCUGACGGAGCAACGCCGCGUGAGUGAUGAAGGUCUUCGGAUCGUAAAACUCUGUUAUUAGGGAAGAACAUAUGUGUAAGUAACUGUGCACAUCUUGACGGUACCUAAUCAGAAAGCCACGGCUAACUACGUGCCAGCAGCCGCGGUAAUACGUAGGUGGCAAGCGUUAUCCGGAAUUAUUGGGCGUAAAGCGCGCGUAGGCGGUUUUUUAAGUCUGAUGUGAAAGCCCACGGCUCAACCGUGGAGGGUCAUUGGAAACUGGAAAACUUGAGUGCAGAAGAGGAAAGUGGAAUUCCAUGUGUAGCGGUGAAAUGCGCAGAGAUAUGGAGGAACACCAGUGGCGAAGGCGACUUUCUGGUCUGUAACUGACGCUGAUGUGCGAAAGCGUGGGGAUCAAACAGGAUUAGAUACCCUGGUAGUCCACGCCGUAAACGAUGAGUGCUAAGUGUUAGGGGGUUUCCGCCCCUUAGUGCUGCAGCUAACGCAUUAAGCACUCCGCCUGGGGAGUACGACCGCAAGGUUGAAACUCAAAGGAAUUGACGGGGACCCGCACAAGCGGUGGAGCAUGUGGUUUAAUUCGAAGCAACGCGAAGAACCUUACCAAAUCUUGACAUCCUUUGACAACUCUAGAGAUAGAGCUUUCCCCUUCGGGGGACAAAGUGACAGGUGGUGCAUGGUUGUCGUCAGCUCGUGUCGUGAGAUGUUGGGUUAAGUCCCGCAACGAGCGCAACCCUUAAGCUUAGUUGCCAUCAUUAAGUUGGGCACUCUAAGUUGACUGCCGGUGACAAACCGGAGGAAGGUGGGGAUGACGUCAAAUCAUCAUGCCCCUUAUGAUUUGGGCUACACACGUGCUACAAUGGACAAUACAAAGGGCAGCGAAACCGCGAGGUCAAGCAAAUCCCAUAAAGUUGUUCUCAGUUCGGAUUGUAGUCUGCAACUCGACUACAUGAAGCUGGAAUCGCUAGCAAUCGUAGAUCAGCAUGCUACGGUGAAUACGUUCCCGGGUCU